rnacentral:misc_RNA from 1 species
UUAAUUCAUUGUUUGGUCACUCAGACGUCAUUGAUAGAUCGAGUUUGGAGGUCCUCCGACGGGCGCUCACCAGCCGAAACCGGCGGGGGGUGUUCCCCGGGCCCGCCAAAGCAACAGAGGUAGAUACACAAGGGGUGGGAGGUUCGGGCCCCGAGGACCCUCUCUCGUUAAUGAUCCUUCCGCAGGUUCACCUACGGAAA